GUCCUCGUAGCUUAAACCCAAAGCAUGACACUGAAGUCGUCAAGAUGGUUGAUCACGCACCCGAGAACA
rnacentral:tRNA from 1 species